rnacentral:misc_RNA from 1 species
GAAAUGCGAUAAUUAAUGUGAAUUGCAGAAUUCAGUGAAUCAUCGAGUCUUUGAACGCAUAUUGUGCCCCCUGGUAUUCCGGGGGGCAUGCCUGUCCGAGCGUCAUUGCUGCCCUCAAGCACGGCUUGUGUGUUGGGCUUCCGUCCCUGGCAACGGGGACGGGCCCAAAAGGCAGUGGCGGCACCAUGUCUGGUCCUCGAGCGUAUGGGGCUUUGUCACCCGCUCCCGUAGGUCCAGCUGGCAGCUAGCCUCGCAACCAAUCUUUUUAACCAGGUUGACCUCGGAUCAGGUAGGGAUACCCGCUGAACUUAAGC